UACAGAGGGUGCAAACGUUGUUCGGAAUUACUGGGCAUAAAGCGCACGUAGGCGGUUCUGUAAGUGUGGUGUGAAAUCCCACGGCUCACCCGUGGAACUGCGCCGCAUACUGCAGGACUCGAGGAUGGUAGAGGAGAGCGGAACUCCAGGUGGAGCGGUGAAAUGCGUAGAUAUCUGGAGGAACACCGGUGGCGAAGGCGGCUCUCUGGUCCAUUACUGACGCUGAGGUGCGAAAGCCAGGGUAGCGAAC
rnacentral:rRNA from 1 species